rnacentral:lncRNA from 1 species
GUUUGGUUCCACGUGUGCGUUGAGGGAGCCGACGUAGAGGAACUCUGUGUCUGGAGGGAAGCCGUCUUUGAGCUGGAGCUGGAGAGAGUCUUCGUCCCAUGAGAAACUCCAUUUGCCUGUUUCUGAGUCUCUUUUGGAUUGGAGAGGUAACGUGUUGGCCACGAUGAUCUUCCUCUCGCGUGGAGAAGAAGUUACCUCGGAGGAGCCGGAGAUGAUUCCUGGAACGGUCAUGACGCGUGGGAGAGAGAGGUUUCAAGUUGAUACGUCGAGAAAAUUCGCGCAGGGUCUUGUUACCAUGUAGACCAGAAGCUAAAGACUAAAGAGCUUUGUGUCUUGUUCGAAUAACUUCCAAAACGAUGUCGUUUCUGUAAAUAAAGAGAUUAAAAAGGUAUUAGAUGCUAAUUAAUCAUCAUUGCAGGUCUAAUCAAAAGCAUGAGAUUAUACAAUAAACAGAUCAAAAAACACAAGAGCUUGUGUCUUGUUCACAAAGCGGUGUCGUUUUUAUAAUCUACAAAUAAAGAGAUUAGAAGGCUAUUAGAUGCUAAUUGAACAUCAUUUUCAGGCCUAAUCAAAGCAUUGGAUUAUACCAUAAACAGAUCAAGAACACGAGCUUGUGUCUUUUUUCGUACAAAAACGCUGUCGUUUAUACAAUCAACGAAAUAAGAAGCUAUUUAGAUGCUAAUUAAUCACCAUUGUUAGGACUAAUCAAAGCAUGAGAUUAUACCAUAAACAGAUCAAAAACACAUAAGGAUUUAGCGUUAAGGAUCUAAAUAUGUAUGGAUCAAAACACAGUUGUAUAAAGACGGAGAUAUCGCCGGAAACUCACCGUCUCCGUCGUUUCUUGAUCUCUGAACCGGUGGAUGUUUAUAUUAUUGUGGUCAAACCGGUUAAUGGAAAGCUUGCGAAGAUGAUGGAGAGAAGAAAGAGACUCGGAACUCUUUCGGAUAUUCGCAGCACUCGAGAGAAAGAUUCAGAGAGGAAGAAAAAGAAAGAAAAUAAAAUAUGAGAUUUCAAGAAAGGAAAACUUAUAUAUGCGGAAAUAUAUUCAUAUAUUAUACACGUUUUCUAACGAUCUAUUUGCUUUUCUAUAUUACUAUAAUAAAGUUCUAUAUUUUGAAAUUUAUUUAAUAUUAUCAUAUCGUAGCUUUUGCUCUGUACGUUAUUUUGGCGAUAAUGUUUUGGAUAAGUCUUUCUGUUUCUGAGUCUCUUUUGGAUUGGAGAGGUAACGUGUUGGCCACGAUGAUCUUCCUCUCGCGUGGAGAAGAAGUUACCUCGGAGGAGCCGGAGAUGAUUCCUGGAACGGUCAUGACGCGUGGGAGAGAGAGGUUUCAAGUUGAUACGUCGAGAAAAUUCGCGCAGGGUCUUGUUACCAUGUAGACCAGAAGCUAAAGACUAAAGAGCUUUGUGUCUUGUUCGAAUAACUUCCAAAACGAUGUCGUUUCUGUAAAUAAAGAGAUUAAAAAGGUAUUAGAUGCUAAUUAAUCAUCAUUGCAGGUCUAAUCAAAAGCAUGAGAUUAUACAAUAAACAGAUCAAAAAACACAAGAGCUUGUGUCUUGUUCACAAAGCGGUGUCGUUUUUAUAAUCUACAAAUAAAGAGAUUAGAAGGCUAUUAGAUGCUAAUUGAACAUCAUUUUCAGGCCUAAUCAAAGCAUUGGAUUAUACCAUAAACAGAUCAAGAACACGAGCU